AUGAACAAAAGGAGUGGGAGGAGUGGAAUCGCGGCAAUUAAGGCGGACAUGAGUAAGGCAUACGAUAGGGUUGAAUGGAGCUUUUUGGAGGCUAUGUUAAGCAAGUCGGGGUUUAGCAGGAGGUGGGUUGCGCUUGUCAUGAAAUGUGUUCGAACUGUUCGGUACCAGAUUAAGGUGAAUGGGGAUCUGACCCAACAGUUUAGCCCAUCGCGUGGUCUCCGACAGGGGGACCCCAUCUCCCCCUAUCUUUUUGUCAUCUGUGUGGAAGGAUUGUCGACGCUGUUGUUGGAUGCAGAAGAGAAGGGGGUGCUGCAUGGAGUGAAGAUAUGCCCAAGGGCACCAUGUGUAUCACAUCUACUAUUUGCGGACGACUCCAUGCUUCUAAUCAAAUCAGACCAACAGGAAGCAGCAGCACUACAUGAAUUGCAGUUAUAUGAGGCGUGCUCGGGGCAGUGUAUAAACACCAAAAAAUCUGCAAUUAUGUUCAGUCCUAACACAUGUGAUAAUGAUAGAAUCGUAGUUAAGGCUGAGUUGGGUAUACACAGUGAGGAUUGGAAUGAAAAGUACUUAGAGCUGCCAGUCCACGUGGGGUGA
rnacentral:rRNA from 1 species